AGAGUUUGGUCCUGGCUCAGAACGAACGCUGAUGGCGUGCCUCAUACAUGCAAGUCGAGCGGGUAGCAAUACCAGCGGCGGACGGGUGAGUAACGCGUAAGUAAUCUGCCCAUUAUUGGGGAAUAACCAUUCUAACGGAUGGGUAAUACCGCAUAUAGCGUGGUUUUCGCAUGGAGACAACGUAAAAGAUUUAUUGAUAAUGGAUGAACUUGCGUCCCAUUAGCUAGUUGGGGGGGUAACGGCCCACCAAGGCGACGAUGGGUAGCCGGCCUGAGAGGGUGUCCGGCCACAUUGGGACUGAGAUACGGCCCAGACUCCUACGGGAGGCAGCAGUAGGGAAUUUUGCGCAAUGGGGGCAACCCUGACGCAGCAACGCCAUGUGUGGGAUGACGCAUUUAGGUGUGUAAACCACUGUCGGCUGGGAAUAAAUGCCCAUUAGGGAGUUGAAUGUACCAGCAAAGGAAGCACCGGCUAACUUCGUGCCAGCAGCCGCGGUAAUACGAGGGGUGCAAGUGUUGUUCGGAAUCACUGGGCGUAAAGGGAGCGUAGGCUGGUAUCUAAGUUGGAGGUUUAAUAGCAGGGCCUAACCCUGUAUCGGCCUUCAAAAACUGGAUAUCUUGAAUGGGAUAGAGGUAGAUGGAAUUCUGGGUGUAGCGGUGGAAUGCGUAGAUAUCCAGAAGAACACCAAAAGCGAAGGCAGUCUACUGGGUCCACAUUGACGCUGAUGCUCGAAAGCAUGGGGAGCGAACAGGAUUAGAUACCCUGGUAGUCCAUGCCAUAAACGAUGGAUACUGGGUUUUGGGGAGUCAACGUCCCAGAGCCGUAGCUAACGCGUUAAGUAUCCCGCCUGGGGAGUACGCCCGCAAGGGUGAAACUCAAAGGAAUUGACGGGGGCCCGCACAAGCGGUGGAGCAUGUGGUUUAAUUCGACGCAACGCGAAGAACCUUACCAGGGCUUGACAUGGGGCGGAUGAGACGAGAGAUCGUUUUUCUUUAGCAAUAAAGCUGCCUACACAGGUGCUGCAUGGCUGUCGUCAGCUCGUGUCGUGAGAUGUUGGGUUAAGUCCCGCAACGAGCGCAACCCUCGUUUUCAGUUGCCACCCGCAAGGGGGAACUCUGGAGAGACUGCCGCGAAUAACGCGGAGGAAGGUGGGGAUGACGUCGAGUCAUCAUGGCCCUUACGUCCUGGGCUACACACGUGCUACAAUGGGCGUUACAGAGGGUAGCAAAGCAGCGAUGCGGAGCCAAUCCCUAAAGGCGUCCUCAGUUCAGAUUGUAGUCUGCAACUCGACUACAUGAAGCCGGAAUCGCUAGUAAUCGCGGAUCAGCAUGCCGCGGUGAAUACGUUCCCGGGCCUUGUACACACUGCCCGUCAACCCACGAAAGGAGAGAGCGCUCAAAGUCGUGAUGGUAAUCCGCAAGGGGCCUAACGCCUAAAGCGAGAUCUCUAAUUGGGGCUAAGUCGGAACAAGGU
rnacentral:rRNA from 1 species